rnacentral:rRNA from 1 species
CUACGGGCGGCACCAGUGAGGAAUAUUGGACAAUGGAGGAAACUCUGAUCCAGCCAUGCCGCGUGAGUGAAGAAGGCCUUAGGGUUGUAAAGCUCUUUCAGUAGUGAAGAUAAUGACGGUAACUACAGAAGAAGCUCCGGCUAAAUUCGUGCCAGCAGCCGCGGUAAUACGAAUGGAGCAAGCGUUGUUCGGAAUCACUGGGCUUAAAGCGUGCGCAGGCGGAAAUGAAAGUCAGAAGUGAAAUCCCAGGGCUCAACCCUGGAACUGCUUUUGAAACUUCAUUUCUAGAAUCCGAUAGAGGUUAGGAGAAUUCCUAGUGUAGAGGUGAAAUUCGCAGAUAUUAGGAGGAAUACCAGUGGCGUAGGCGCCUAACUGGAUCGGUAUUGACGCUCAUGUACGAAAGCGUGGGGAGCAAACAGGAUUAGAUACCCUCGUAGUC